UGUCUCGAUCUGCUGAGGACAGAUGUAAUGUACGUGGGUAUCAAUAGCACCUGCUGUAACGAUCAUUCCCUCUGCUGAAAGAACCUCGGUUCCGGUACCGAUAACAAGCUUGGGAUCAACGCCGUCCUGUGUAUCAGGGUUACCUGCUUUACCGAUACCUACAAUAAGUCCGUCCUUGAUACCGAUAUCAGCUUUAACGAUUCCCUGAUAAUCUACUACAAUUGCAUUUGUGAGGCAGAAAUCAAGCGCUCCGCCUUCAUUGGUGAUACCAACCUUCUGACCCAUACCGUCACG
rnacentral:sRNA from 1 species